rnacentral:rRNA from 1 species
AAUCAACGCUGGCGGCGUGCCUAACACAUGCAAGUCGAACGCGAAAGGGGGACUUCGGUUCCUGAGUAGAGUGGCGUCCGGGUGAGUAACACGUGGGUAAUCUGCCUUCGGGUGGGGAAUAACUACAGGGAAACUUGAGCUAAUACCGCAUAAUGCAGCGGCACCUAAUGGUAGAUUAGUUGUUAAAGCGGGGAUCGCAAGACCUCGCGCCUGAAGAGAGCCUGCGGCAGAUAGCUAGUUGGUAA